UUUUUUCUCCUUUUUCCUUUGUGUAAUCCAAAUUGAACUUUUUUUUUCUUUUUGUUCAAUUUUGUAAUCAUUGAAACUUUUACGGUGGAAAUUCAAAUCACAUUCAAAUUUUGUGAAAUUUACAGGGUUCCAUUUUGAUUUUUUUUUUUUAGUUUUUAUUUUUAGGUCUGUUUGUUAAAAGGCGUUCAAUUUUGGAAUUAUGAUUAUAGAUUAGAGUUGUCAGUCCCAAAUAGCGGCGCGGAGUGUCCGACUCUAUACAUGCUAUAGGGGAUAGUGGAUAGUGGGAUGACGAUAUUUUGAACCUUAAACCCUUACCUUAGAUUUAUACCAGUGUUAUCAAUGGUGGAUGGUGGUGGCAGAAGGCCAAAAUUCUGCCAUAAAAACAUGCCAUUGUGGUAGCGGUCUCCCUUCACAAAUUACCUAUGGUGGUUAGCAAAAAAGUGAAAUGGUAGUGGGUAGGCUACAACAGUGACAAAAUUGCUGGAAACUAGCCGGAAAAAAAGAUGACUCUGUGUAAACCAGUGAGAAAUGAGUCUGGAUGCCAGAAAUUGGCUGGAAAAAAAAAAAAAAAAAAGAACUGUGCUGUGCGAUGGCGAGUGGUGCUGGAAACUAGCAGAGGAGUGUGGAAAAGAGCUCUGCAGAGGCAAGGGCUUGCACUUACAGGGAGUAUCUUGGAUGCUGAUAUACACCAUAAUAUUUUAUCAUUGUUGAAAAGUAAAGCAAAGGGUCAUCAAAGCCCAAACUUGAUAUCUGAAAAGCUAUCUGCGUCUCUAUAUGGGCAUACAAAAGCUGUCAAUGCUAUACAUUGGUCAUCAACUCAUGCUCACCUCCUUGCAUCUGCGGGGAUGGAUCAUGCGGUUUGCAUAUGGAAUGUAUGGGGCAGAAAUCAGAAGAAAGCAUGUGUGCUAAACUUCCACAAUGCAGCAGUCAAAGAUGUGAAAUGGUCUCAGCAAGGGCACUUCCUACUUUCUUGUGGGUAUGAUUGCACGUCAAGGUUAAUUGAUGUUGAAAAGGGAUUGGAGACUCGGGUUUUCAGAGAAGAUCAAAUUGUUGGAGUUAUAAAGUUCCAUCCAGACAAUUCAAAUCCUACGAAGCACGGACACCCCAUCCCCUUGUCGUGUCCGGGUGUCCGACACGUGUCCGUGUCCGUGUCCAACACGACACCGACACUGACAAGUAAAUCAGCAUCCCAUUAAGAGGUGAGGUGUCCACGUGUCCGUGUCCGUGUCAGUGUUGGUGCUUCAUAGUUCAAAUCUCUUCCUUUCCGGAGGGUCAAAGGGCCGGUUCAAACUUUGGGAUGCCAGAACUGGCAAAGUAGUGCACAAUUAUAAUUGAAAUUUAGGUCCAAUUCUGGAUGUUGAGUUCACAAUGAAUGGGAAGCAAUUCAUCUCUUCUAGUGAUGUAUCUCAAAGUAACGCCAACAAGAACGCUAUUAUUGUUUGGGAUGUGUCAAGAGAGAUACCAUUGUCUAAUCAGGUUUAUGUGGAAGCUUAUACGUGUCCUUGUGUGAGGUGCCACCCAUUUGAUUCAAUUUUUGUUGCCCAAUCAAAUGGGAAUUAUGAUGCAAUCUUUACUACCACCCCACCUUACAGACUCAACAAAUAUAAGCGAUAUGAGGGACAUGUGGUCUCUGGGUUUCCAAUCAAAUGCAAUUUCAGCUUGGAUGGGAAAAAACUUGCUUCUGGCUCUUCAGAUGGUUCUAUCUACCUUUAUGAUUAUCAGUCAUCCAAAGUCGUGAAGAAAAUCAAGGCCCAUGACCAGGCAUGCAUAGAUGUUGCCUUCCACCCUGUUAUACCUAAUGUUAUUGCUUCAUGCUCAUGGGAUGGAAGUAUUUUGGUAUUUGAGUAGUCAGUCUUUAAUUUUCUCACAGGGCAAGCAUUCGGUUACUACUAGAAAAUGACUUGCUAGGAGAGUGGAAAACUCUAGCCUUCUCUUAGUCUAGGCAGCUGUUUCUAGUUUGUUAGAUACUGUGUGAAUAAUGAAACCUUCUCCCACAAGUCAAUGCUUGCUUAAAUGUGUACCCUUUUACUGUUGUACUGUGGAUUUAAUGUUUGUUCACUUAUAUUACAACUAUAGUGAAUCAUGGUGUGAAUUGUUUAAAAAGCAGUUUAAAGUAUUUACCAGAAGUGAGAAAUCUUGGUAACUAUGAUUAAUGAUGUGACAGAUCUUUUCUGAA